UACGAAGGGGGCUAGCGUUGCUCGGAAUUACUGGGCGUAAAGCGCACGUAGGCGGCUUCUUAAGUCGGUGGUGAAAUCCUGGAGCUCAACUCCAGAACUGCCUUCGAUACUGGGAAGCUCGAGUCCGGGAGAGGUGAGUGGAACUGCGAGUGUAGAGGUGAAAUUCGUAGAUAUUCGGAAGAACACCCGUGGCUAAGGCGGCUCUCUAGUACGGUACUGACGCUGAGACGCGAAAGCGUGGGGAGCGAACAGG
rnacentral:rRNA from 1 species